GGGGGUAUAUCUCAGUGGUAGAGCAUUCGACUGCAGAUCGAGAGAUCCUCGGUUCAAACCCGUGAGCCCCCU
rnacentral:tRNA from 1 species